CAGUCGCCACGGUAAUACGUAGGGUGCGAGCGUUAAUCGGAAUUACUGGGCGUAAAGCGAGCGCAGACGGUUAUUUAAGCAGGAUGUGAAACCCCCGGGCUUAACCUGGGAACUGCGUUCUGAACUGGAUAGCUAGAGUGUGUCAGAGGGGGGUAGAAUUCCACGUGUAGCAGUGAAAUGCGUAGAGAUGUGGAGGAAUACCGAUGGCGAAGGCAGCCCCCUGGGCCAAUACUGACGCUCAUGCACGAAAGCGUGGGGAGCAAACAGGAUUAGAUACCCCAGUAGUCCCUGUCUCUUAUAC
rnacentral:rRNA from 1 species